GGGAGUGGCACUAUUGGUGUGUGUCAUCUUGUUGGAGGAGUGUGUCAGAGUGGAGGCUGACUUUGAGAUGUCAUACCCUCAAGCUAUGCCUAGUCUCCAUCUGCUGCCUACAGAUAAAGAUGUAAAACUCUCAGCUACCUCUCCAGCACCUGUUUGCCUGCAUGCCACCCAUCAUGAAGAUAAUGGACUGAAUCUCUGAACUGUCAUGAUUGGCUAUGGGAACUGAAACCACAGAGAAUGAUAAGGAGGAUCACUGGUGUGGAAAACACAGCUCAGCCUCAGGAAGGAACUGCAUCCUGGAACUGGAGGCCUCUAUGACUCAUUCCCGGUCUCUCUGCACACCUGCCUAGGCCUUUGGUCCUUAAAAAGCCAUCCCUGAUCAAUUUGGCUUUUAUGCUGCUCGUGGUGGUUCGGAGCUCGGCUAGAACAGGAGUCAUCCGAGGCCAUCACAUUUAAUUUCCCACGGCUGUUGUAAUAAAACAUCACAAGCUGGGUGGUUUAAAACAACAGAAACUGCCUAGCUCACAGUUCUGGAGUCUGGAUGUGGAAAAUAAACAUGUUGGCAGAGACCGCGUUUUGGAAGAAGGUCACGUUAGUCCAAGGACCAGACCGUACACAGGAAUGAGGCUCCAGGAGGACACAACUCAACCUACAUCAACAUUCAGACAUCCCUGGUUUUAGCUAUCAGUGAUGUCAGUAUCUAGGUUAGGUCAACUGGGCAACAAAUGUCUUUAUCAUGAGGGACAAAGACAAGGGAAGGAAACCUUUUAAACUCAAAUUCUCCUGAAUUGCAUGGGAUGAAAUGAGUUUUGUGGUGACCACAGAGAUCACCAUGGAAGAUUCUGCCGACUUCCCUGUUGCCUGGAGAAAUCCGGAGUGGCUGUUUGCAGAAGGAAGCAUUCUAAAAUGCAGAUAAUUAGAACAAACCUCUCAGAAAUGCAGGCGUGGCUCGCAGUUUAUUUUGGCAAGAAAACAGUGCAAUGAACAAUACUCAACUUAUAAAAUGGCCUUUGAGAAGAAUUUUUAAAAGCACCAGAAAGGUCAUAUGUUGUAACAUUAGACAAACAAAUAGAAACACAAAAAAGCCAAGAUGAAAAGUUGUGUUUGCAGCAUGAGUUCAAAUAGUCCCUAUAAACAAGGCCUGUGAAGUAGGGAGAGGAAGUAGAGGACCUGUCGCCUCCACUUCUACAAGCUUCUGGGUUGUCUACAUUUUUCCCCCCUCUCAUUGAUGUCGUGUUUUUAAGAAAUACACUUUUAAAAUUUGAUUUACAGAAAAGCUGUAACAAUUGAGAGAACUCUCAAACCCAGUAUUCCGUUUGCUCGAGUGCUAAAUUCUGUUUAGCACAACAAAUGAACCAGCACUGGCCUAUUAGUACUGACACAGUGGGAUUGGAAAUUUUAUUUGCCGGUUGAACUUUUAUAGUAUAUGGGCAUGGAGUCCAGGGCUUUAUUCAUACUAGGCAAAUGUUUCUCAAGCCCUUUUUGUUUCUUUGAGACUGGGUCUCAGCAUGUAGCCCAGGCUGGCGUUGGAUUUGCAUUCCUGCCUCUGCUUCCUGAGUGCUGGGGUUACAAGCAUGUGCACUCUGCCCUGCUUUUUAUGGGGAUUUUCAGAACCUCAUCUAAUGCUUUCCAGUCUUGGAUUUGGCAUUUAGCACUGUGCAGCUUGCUUAGUGAGCAUACCCUCUAAGGGGUUUUCUCAGACUUCGCUUGGUUUUGGUGAUCUUGAUGUUGUUUUUUUUAUUUUUCAAGACAAGGUUUUGCUAUGGAGCCCUGGCUGUCCUGGAACUCACACAUAGACCAGGUUGGACUUGAACUCAGAACUCAGAGAUCUGCCUGCCUCUACCUCCUGAGUUCUAGAAUUAAAAGUAACUCAGGGAUUUGGGACCAGAAAGCAGCUUGAAGAAAGCCUCCCAAGUAUCUGGAUCAUCAAAGGAAUGAAUGCAGGAGGCCACGAGACCGAAGUGCACACAUGGAACUGGGCAGUUGGCACCAGAGCCAGGGAGCCAGCGUGUCCCCAUCUCAGAUCACCAUUAGUCUGCUUAUCUCUAAGAAAGCUCUGCACUCCCCCAGAGAGCUCAAAGGGACCGUGUGUCUUCCUAGAGACCCAGAGGACCAUCAGGGAAAGGGAGGAUGGAUUGUGGUUUUUCCCAGGAAGAACAGUUAGCUCAGGGAAGGCAAUACAAGGCAUCUGCAAAGACUGGCAAAUGCUGUGAUCUGGCCACCUGCCAGCUUUGUGGCCUUUGGC
ensembl:lncRNA